rnacentral:piRNA from 1 species
UAUUUACAUUACGAUUCAUAACAGCAAAA